rnacentral:rRNA from 1 species
UGGGGAAUUUUGGACAAUGGGCGAAAGCCUGAUCCAGCAAUGCCGCGUGUGUGAAGAAGGCCUUCGGGUUGUAAAGCACUUUUGUCCGGAAAGAAAUCCUUGGCUCUAAUACAGUCGGGGGAUGACGGUACCGGAAGAAUAAGCACCGGCUAACUACGUGCCAGCAGCCGCGGUAAUACGUAGGGUGCAAGCGUUAAUCGGAAUUACUGGGCGUAAAGCGUGCGCAGGCGGUUUGCUAAGACCGAUGUGAAAUCCCCGGGCUCAACCUGGGAACUGCAUUGGUGGCUGGCAGGCUAGAGUAUGGCAGAGGGGGGUAGAAUUCCACGUGUAGCAGUGAAAUGCGUAGAGAUGUGGAGGAAUACCGAUGGCGAAGGCAGCCCCCUGGGCCAAUACUGACGCUCAUGCACGAAAGCGUGGGGAGCAAACAGGAUUAGAUACCCUGGUAGUCCACGCCCUAAACGAUGUCAACUAGUUGUUGGGGAUUCAUUUCCUUAGNAACGUAGCUAACGCGUGAAGUUGACCGCCU